rnacentral:tRNA from 1 species
AUCUAAUUAGUUUAAAAAAAACUUAAAUUUGUGGAAUUUAUGAUAACAAUAUGUUAUUAGAUA